UGGUAUUUUCCUACUUAAAAACAAAUAUCAUUGUUUGUAGCUUCACGGGCCAAGCAACAGUGCUAGAGCAUAAGGACUUGUUAUAACUGGGGCUCUUCAGCUCUCAACUGAACUGCUCUUUUAAAAACAAGGUACAUUU